rnacentral:rRNA from 1 species
AUACGUAGGGGGCGAGCGUUGUCCGGAAUGAUUGAGCGUAAAGGGCGCGUAGGCGGCCCGGUAAGUCUGGAGUGAAAGUCCUGCUUUUAAGGUGGGAAUUGCUUUGGAUACUGUCGGGCUUGAGUGCAGGAGAGGUAAGUGGAAUUCCCAGUGUAGCGGUGAAAUGCGUAGAGAUUGGGAGGAACACCAGUGGCGAAGGCGACUUACUGGACUGUAACUGACGCUGAGGCGCGAAAGUGUGGGGAGCAAACAGGAUUAGAUACCCUGGUAGUCCACACUGUAAACGAUGAAUGCUAGGUGUAGGGGGUAUCGACCCCUUCUGUGCCGCAGUUAACACAAUAAGCAUUCCGCCUGGGGAGUACGGCCGCAAGGUUGAAACUCAAAUGAAUUGACGGGG